rnacentral:lncRNA from 1 species
UAUUAUUUAUUUCAAUAUAAUUGGCAAUAAUAAUAAUCUCUUUAAAUUUAAUGGUUUUAUUUCCAAUUAAUAAGAAUAAUUUUAGAUGUUUAUUAUAUAUAUGAUGAGAUGUAUGUGUUGGAGAAAAAUAAGUUUUUUAAAUAUUUAUAAAAACUUUUAGCAUUGACCUCAUACAAUACAUAAGAAUUUGUAAUUUAGAAUAUCAUACCUUGACAAUCCGAGAAGAUGAACAAUUGAAAUUAAUCUAGGCUUCCCAGAUCACGAUCCGUCACCACCACGCAGGUUAGAUCACGAUCCGUCACCACUACGCAGGUUAGAUCACGAUCCGUCACCAAUGAUCUUUCAGGUUAUGAUUUAGGUUUGAUCUGCACUUGACGUGUGGACACUUUUACCACCACUAAAAGCAACUAGCAGGAGAAAAUUUUAGAUGUUUAUUAUAUAUAUGAUGAGAUGUAUGUGUUGGAGAAAAAUAAGUUUUUUAAAUAUUUAUAAAAACUUUUAGCACUAACCUCAUACAAUACAUAAGAAUUUGUAAUUUAGAAUAUCAUACCUUGACAAUUCGAGAAGAUGAACAAUUGAAAUUAAUCUAGGCUUCCCAGAUCACAAUUCGUCACCACCACGCAGGUUAGAUCAUGAUCCGUCACCACUACGCAGGUUAGAUCACGAUCCGUCACCAAUGAUCUUUCAGGUUAUGAUUCAGGUUUGAUCUGCACUUGACGUGUGUGCGCUUUUACCACCACUAAAAGCAACUAGCAGGAGAAAAAUUUUCUCUCAAAAUUAGUGAGAAAAAAUCUUUUUUU